UGUCAAAUAUAUAUAGGAAGAAUGGGAAGGGGAUGAAGCAUGGGAGUUUGAGAUCAAAAGCAUCAUUGAGUGCAGCGUUGAUGAAACUCUGCAUCCUGUUGGGCGAUCCAUCGCACCAAAGGUUUGAGGAAUUCACCAGCACUGCACUCAAUCAUGUCUUUGAUAUCCCAAUCAGAAAGAAAGAUAAAUAGCUUUCUUUUGAGAGGCAAUGAUUAAUUUUGUUCGUGAAAUCUCCUCUCUUGGAUUGGAGCUGGUUUUACGAUUUUGGAUCGAUCAGUGAGCGCACCGAAACGCCAUCAUGAGAGAUCAAAUUCUCUGAAGAAAAUGAUGGAAAUGCAUCCAAUUUCUACAAAUGAUACCUUGAUGUCAAGCUUUCUGAUGUUAAUGAUGAAACAAUAGAUCCUUGUACAAGACUUUAGCAACACAAGUUAUUGUGGCUACAUGCAAGUUGGCCUAUUGAAAAGCAGAUGCCAAGUUCUUGCAAUGCCAGCUCUUUACAUAAUUGGGAAGAACAAUAGCUUCUUAUGACCUGUACCAUUUCAUUAUUCAGUUGCACCAGAGAAUGAAAUGCUGACUUCUUAAA